rnacentral:rRNA from 1 species
CCGCGUGUAUGAUGAAGGCCUAUCGGGUUGUAGUUUUUCAGCGGGGAGGAAGGUGACUAGGUUAAUAACCUUGUCAAUUGACGUUACCCGCAGAAGAAGCACCGGCAAACUCCGUGCCAGCAGCCGCGGUAAUACGGAGGGCGCAAGCGUUAAUCGGAACACUGGGCGUAAAGCGCACGCAGGCGGUCUGUCAAGUCGGAAGUGAAAUCCCCGGGCUCAACCUGGGAACUGCAUUCGAAACUGGCAGGCAAGAGUCUUGUAGAGGGGGGUAGAACCCAGGUGUAGCGGUGAAAUGCGUAGAGAUCUGGAGGAAAACCGGUGGCGAAGGCGGCCCCCAGGACAAAGACAGACGCUCAGGUGCGAAAGCGUGGGGAGCAAACAGGAGUAGAUACCCUGGUAGUCCACGCCGUAAACGAUGUCGACUUGGAGGUUGUUCUCUUGAGGAGUGGCUUCCGGAGCUAACGCGUUGAGUCGAUCGUCCGGGGAGUACGGUCGCAAUGUUAUAACUUAAAUGAAUUGACGGGGGCCCGCACAAGCUGUGGAUCAUGUGGUUUCAUUCUAUGCAACGCGAAGAACCUUAUCUACUCUUGACAUCCAGAGAACUUUCCUGAG